UGUUCCAAGCCUGAGGCAUGGCCUGCACUGAAAACCUCUUUCCCUGUUGCACUACUGUCAAACUUGUAGCUAGCAGUGCAAUAAUGAAAGGGCGUCGGUCUGCC
rnacentral:miRNA from 1 species